AUCUUGCGGCGUUUUGGGAUUACGUUUCACUGCUACGCUGAUGAUACUCAUUUUGUACAUGCGGAUAGCUGCUGGUAAUUUCAUACAUGUCAAGACCUUAGAGGAUUGCCUUGCUUCUGUAAAAAGCU